rnacentral:rRNA from 1 species
GAUGAACGCUGGCGGCGUGCCCAAUACAUGCAAGUCGAGCGAACAGACGAGGAGCUUGCUCCUCUGACGUUAGCGGCGGACGGUUGAGUAACACGUGGAUAACCUACCUAUAAGACUGGGAUAACUUCGGGAAACCGGAGCUAAUACCGGAUAAUAUAUUGAACCGCAUGGUUCAAUAGUGAAAGACGGUUUUGCUGUCACUUAUAGAUUGAUCCUCGCCGCAUUAGCUAGUUGGUAAGGUAACGGCUUACCAAGGCAACUAUGCGUAGCCGACCUGAGAGGGUGAUCGGACACCACGGAACUGAGACACGGUCCAGACUCCUUCGGAAGGCAGCAGUAGGGAAUCUUCCGCAAUGGGCGAAAGCCUGACGGAGCAACGCCGCGUGAGUGAUGAAGGUCUUCGGAUCGUAAAACUCUGUUAUUAGGGAAGAACAAAUGUGUAAGUAACUAUGCACGUCUUGACGGUACCUAAUCAGAAAGCCACGGCUAACUACGUG